rnacentral:rRNA from 1 species
UCGAGAAUCUUCGGCAAUGGGCGAAAGCCUGACCGAGCGAUGCCGCGUGCGGGAUGAAGGCCUUCGGGUUGUAAACCGCUGUCGUAGGGGAGAAAGGGUCGUUGAAGAAACGACUUUGAUCUAUCCUAGGAGGAAGUCCGGGCUAAGUUCGUGCCAGCAGCCGCGGUAACACGAACCGGACAAACGUUAUUCGGAAUUACUGGGCUUAAAGGGUGCGUAGGCGGUGCGGUAAGUGCGGUGUGAAAUCCCACGGCUCAACCGUGGAAUUGCGCUGCAUACUGCCGUGCUAGAGGGAGACAGGGGUAAGCGGAACUGAUGGUGGAGCGGUGAAAUGCGUUGAUAUCAUCAGGAACACCGGUGGCGAAAGCGGCUUACUGGGUCUCUUCUGACGCUGAGGCACGAAAGCUAGGGUAGCGAACGGGAUUAGAUACCCCAGUAGUCCCUGAGCGGGCUGGCAAGGCGCAU